rnacentral:rRNA from 1 species
GACGAACGCUGGCGGCGUGCCUAAUACAUGCAAGUAGGACGCAGUUGCGAACGGGUGAGUAACGCGUAGGUUCCUACCCACUAGAGGGGGAUAACACUCGGAAACGAUAGCUAUUACCGCAUACUAGCAGAUGGACCUGCGUUGUAUUAGCGAGUAGGUAGGGUAAUGGCCUACCUAGGCAACGCUACAUAGCCGACCUGGGAGGGGGAUCGGGCAAACUGGGACUGAGACAAGGCCCAGAGUCCUACGGGAGGCAGGAGUAGGGGAACUUCGGCAAUGGGGGGAAAGCUGACCGAGCAACGCCGCGUGAGUGAAGAAGGUUUUCGGAUCGUAAAGCUCUGUUGUUAAGGAAGCGGUACUUAACCAGAAAGGGACGGCUAACUACGUGCCAGCAGCCGCGGUAAUAC